rnacentral:rRNA from 1 species
AUUGAGCGCUGGCGGCAUGCCUUACACAUGCAAGUCGAACGGCAGCACGGGUGCUUGCACCUGGUGGCGAGUGGCGAACGGGUGAGUAAUACAUCGGAACGUACCUUAUCGUGGGGGAUAACGCAGCGAAAGCCGUGCUAAUACCGCAUACGCCCUGAGGGGGAAAGCGGGGGAUCGCAAGACCUCGCGCGAUUAGAGCGGCCGAUGCCUGAUUAGCUAGUUGGUGGGGUAAAAGCCCACCAAGGCGACGAUCAGUAGCUGGUCUGAGAGGACGAUCAGCCACACUGGGACUGAGACACGGCCCAGACUCCUACGGGAGGCAGCAGUGGGGAAUUUUGGACAAUGGGGGCAACCCUGAUCCAGCAAUGCCGCGUGAGUGAAGAAGGCCUUCGGGUUGUAAAGCUCUUUUGUCAGGGAAGAAACACCGGCUCUAACACAGUCCGGGAAUGACGGUACCUGAAGGAUAAGCACCGGCUAACUACGUGCCAGCCGCCGCGGUAA